rnacentral:rRNA from 1 species
GUCCCAGACUCCUACGGGAGGCAGCAGUGGGGAAUAUUGGACAAUGGGGGGAACCCUGAUCCAGCGACGCCGCGUGAGUGAAGAAGUAUUUCGGUAUGUAAAGCUCUAUCAGCAGGGAAGAAAGAAAUGACGGUACCUGACUAAGAAGCCCCGGCUAACUACGUGCCAGCAGCCGCGGUAAUACGUAGGGGGCAAGCGUUAUCCGGAAUUACUGGGUGUAAAGGGAGCGCAGACGGCAGUGCAAGUCUGGAGUGAAAGCCCGUGGCUUAACCACGGGACUGCUCUGGAAACUGUGCAGCUAGAGUGCAGGAGAGGCAGGCGGAAUUCCCAGUGUAGCGGUGAAAUGCGUAGAUAUUAGGAGGAACACCAGUGGCGAAGGCGGCUUACUGGACUGUAACUGACGUUGAGGCUCGAAAGCGUGGGGAGCAAACAGGAUUAGAUACCCGAGUACG